UAUUUCCCUCCCGUUUAUGCGACUCAAGCCUAACCCUAGGGCACGAAUCUACAGCCGCCGCCAUGGGAGUGCAAUCUAUCGCCGUUGCAACGCCAGGAGCCGUCGCCGCCACUUCAGUGCUGACGAAUGACGCCAACGCGACGCCUGCUACCGGAGGGGUUGUGUGCCAUCGGAGAACUACCGAGACCAGUUGAGUAGUUCGUGUGUAUGUCGUUGUGCAAUUAGUGCGCGAAGAGAAAGCUUAGUGUUAGAAGCUGGUGUACAACAACAGCAUUUAUGGGAUCUGUUCGUCAUCCGAGGUUUUUCUUAGGAUCGCAGGAAGGCGACGGCUCGAUUGUACACACGAGAUGAAGAAUAAUGUUUUGGAGGAUCCUGAAUUAUUAAUCAAAUAAUGAUAGAUUUGUGUUUUGUUAAUUGGAUGGAUUUUGUGUAAUGUAAUAUGAGAAUUUAAGUGAAUUUAAAACGAAAAUUUUAUAUGAAAAUUUUCGGUGUUACAGUUUGAUUA